CCUACGGGUGGCUGCAGUGGGGAAUAUUGCGCAAUGGGCGCAAGCCUGAUGCAGCCAUGCCGCGUGUGUGAAGAAGGCCUUCGGGUUGUAAAGCACUUUCAGCGGGGAGGAAGGCGGUGAGGUUAAUAACCUCAUCGAUUGACGUUACCCGCAGAAGAAGCACCGGCUAACUCCGUGCCAGCAGCCGCGGUAAUACGGAGGGUGCAAGCGUUAAUCGGAAUUACUGGGCGUAAAGCGCACGCAGGCGGUCUGUCAAGUCGGAUGUGAAAUCCCCGGGCUCAACCUGGGAACUGCAUUCGAAACUGGCGGGCUAGAGUCUUGUAGAGGGGGGUAGAAUUCCAGGUGUAGCGGUGAAAUGCGUAGAGAUCUGGAGGAAUACCGGUGGCGAAGGCGGCCCCCUGGACAAAGACUGACGCUCAGGUGCGAAAGCGUGGGGAGCAAACAGGAUUAGAUACCCGGGUAGUC
rnacentral:rRNA from 1 species